UUGAGCGGGCACAUGUGGAGAGGGUGAGGCCACAUGGCCACCAGGGACGGGGAGUGGAGGGGAGGGUCAGGUGGGCACGAGCCUGGCUCACCACACCAGGCUGGCAGACGAUGCACAGAGGGUGUGUGGCAACGCUGACUCACCCACAGCUCCCAGUGUGUCCGUGAUUCCAGAUGCCAGAGUGGGAACAGGUGCGUUCACAACUCAGCCGGCCAAGAGAGUUGGGAAGAAACUCCUCCCCGAAUCUGGAGGCUCCGUUUAUGAUUGUCACGUGUACCGAGACGGGCGUCGGGAUAGUCUACAGACGGAAGAUGGACACAAAUAGCUGGAGUAACUCAGCGGGACAGACGGGCAGCAUCUCUGGAGAGAGAAGGAAUGGGUGAUGUUUCGGCUCCAGACCCUUCUUCAG